AGGGCGGGACACGUGACAUCCUGUCUGAAUAUGGGGGGACCAUCCUCCAAGGCUAAAUACUCCUGACUGACCGAUAGUGAACCAGUACCGUGAGGGAAAGGCGAAAAGAACCCCGGCGAGGGGAGUGAAACAGAACCUGAAACCGUGUACGUACAAGCAGUGGGAGCACCUUCGUGGUGUGACUGCGUACCUUUUGUAUAAUGGGUCAGCGACUUAUAUUUUGUAGCAAGGUUAACCGAAUAGGGGAGCCGUAGGG
rnacentral:rRNA from 1 species